rnacentral:lncRNA from 1 species
GAGUAUAGGAGAAUAUGAGUUUAAUCCAAUGCAUUGUGGUAGUCACUUAUCCCUAGGAAACACUUGAUUAAUCAGUAAAUCAGGAAAACAUUGGUCUGAUAAUUUGUUAAUAAUUGGAAGAUUACCCAAGAUUCAGAGAAGGAAAUUGUUUUACCAAAUGGAUAACCUUGCCUCCUCAGGAUGGCAUAUAGCAAAAUAUAAAUUUAAUCUAAUGUCUUAUGGUAUCGAAU